UCCCAAGUAUUGAGCCUAGUUCAGUCUUCUGCCCUGUUCUGGUCAUUAAACUCUGGGACAGUAAGACACGGGCUGGGGAGAUAAUUGGGUAAAAGCUAUUUCUCUAUUUUCUUCCCAGCCCACAACA
ensembl:snoRNA